CGAGACCUCAGGUCAGACGGGGCUACCCGCUGAGUUUAAGCAUAUCAAUAAGCGGAGGAAAAGAAACUAACAAG
rnacentral:rRNA from 1 species